ACAUUACUGAAGAGUCUCACAAUAGGACGAAACGGUCGUCUAAUGC
rfam:Schistosoma haematobium scaffold281_25, whole genome shotgun sequence.